rnacentral:rRNA from 1 species
AAAAAUCGUAACAAGGUCUCCGUUGGUGAACCAGCGGAGGGAUCAUUACCGAGUUUACAACUCCCAAACCCCUGUGAACAUACCUAUACGUUGCCUCGGCGGAUCAGCCCGCGCCCCGUAAAAAGGGACGGCCCGCCCGAGGACCCCUAAACUCUGUUUUUAGUGGAACUUCUGAGUAAAACAAACAAAUAAAUCAAAACUUUCAACAACGGAUCUCUUGGUUCUGGCAUCGAUGAAGAACGCAGCAAAAUGCGAUAAGUAAUGUGAAUUGCAGAAUUCAGUGAAUCAUCGAAUCUUUGAACGCACAUUGCGCCCGCCAGUAUUCUGGCGGGCAUGCCUGUUCGAGCGUCAUUUCAACCCUCAAGCUCAGCUUGGUGUUGGGACUCGCGGUAACCCGCGUUCCCCAAAUCGAUUGGCGGUCACGUCGAGCUUCCAUAGCGUAGUAAUCAUACACCUCGUUACUGGUAAUCGUCGCGGCCACGCCGUAAAACCCCAACUUCUGAAUGUUGACCUCGGAUCAG